rnacentral:misc_RNA from 1 species
UGGUUUUGGACCCGUGUCUGCCAGUAGAUCCCCCGUCUUUGUUCGGCUGACUACCGGCGCCGUGUCCCAUCAAUGGUGUGGCUUAUGUUACUGUUGCCUUCGAGUGCUUGCAUGAUGGUACCCAUCCUCCGGGUAGUGGUCCGUCGGACACAGUUGCCUCGUGGUGGACGCCUUUGGGUGUGGUGCUACGGCCAAAUGACGCUUGUAGCGUUGCUUCGUGGUGCUGGCAUGUUCUCGUGCCCGUGCUACAAAGGCAGCCUUGCUCUUGUUGUUGGUUUCGGAUGUUGCUCACGAUAAAUGUUCAUGGCCCUUUGGUUGCCUUGACAAAGACCCGAAAUAUGCCCACCUCGUUGAGAAAACCGGUGAAUAGGUGUUGCCUCUACCUCUCCACAGUUAGUGGUAGGAUACGCAACAAUCUGCGCCGAUCCUCAACUCGUAGGUGGGAUAUUGGCCCGCUCAAUCACGACAACCGGCACGGUGGUUGACUCUGCCUUUACACGCAAGUGGACGGGUGAGCAGCUACCGGAGCUGGAUGUCAAAGAGG